rnacentral:rRNA from 1 species
AAUCCAGACUCCUACGGGAGGCAGCAGUGGGGAAUAUUGCACAAUGGGGGAAACCCUGAUGCAGCGACGCCGCGUGAAGGAAGAAGUAUUUCGGUAUGUAAACUUCUAUCAGCAGGGAAGAAAAUGACGGUACCUGACUAAGAAGCCCCGGCUAACUACGUGCCAGCAGCCGCGGUAAUACGUAGGGGGCAAGCGUUAUCCGGAUUUACUGGGUGUAAAGGGAGCGUAGGCGGCAAGGCAAGUCUGAUGUGAAAACCCAGGGCCCAACCCUGGGACUGCAUUGGAAACUGUAUUGCUUGAGUACCGGAGAGGCAGGCGGAAUUCCUAGUGUAGCGGUGAAAUGCGUAGAUAUUAGGAGGAACACCAGUGGCGAAGGCGGCUUACUGGACAGUAACUGACGUUGAGGCUCGAAAGCGUGGGGAGCAAACAGGAUUAGAUACCCCUGUA